rnacentral:rRNA from 1 species
GGUGACCUGCGGAAGGAUAUUGUCGAUGCCUGAGACGAGUAGACCGCGAACCAGUUCCACAAAAACACGCGGGUCGGGACGCGGCGCGCCCGAUUGGGCCGUCGCCGUCCCCCCGGCCCCCGCCCGGCGCUCUGCGUUGUGCGGGCUAACGAACCCCGGCGCGGAACGCGCCAAGGAAAACCUUAACGAAGCGCCCGUUCCCCCCCGCCCGAGCCCCGUCCGCGGCGCGCGAGGGCGGGGGCGGUCUGGAGCGCCUCAUCUAUGUCAAAACGACUCUCGGCAACGGAUAUCUCGGCUCUCGCAUCGAUGAAGAACGUAGCGAAAUGCGAUACUUGGUGUGAAUUGCAGAAUCCCGUGAACCAUCGAGUCUUUGAACGCAAGUUGCGCCCGAAGCCUUCGGGCCGAGGGCACGCCUGCCUGGGCGUCACGCAUCGCGUCGCCCCCCUCCCCCGCCCCCCGGAGGGGGCGGCAGCGGCGGGGAGUGCGGAGAUUGGCCUCCCGUGCGCCUCGGCGUGCGGCCGGCCCAAAUGCGAUCCCCCGGCGGCGUCCGUCGCGACCAGUGGUGGUUGAACCCUCAACUCUCGCGCUGUCCGUCGCGCUCCGCGGCGCCGCCCGGCCGGGCAUCACGAACGACCCUAGAAGCGUCCCUCUUCCUCGAAAGGGCUGAGGGCGCAUCCGACCGCGACCCCAGGUCAGGCGGGAUUACCCG